AGCUUCAUAAACACAGAUCUGACUGGAUCAUUUACAUUCUACAACAUGAAUGGUUUUCUCUCACUUUCAGGAGAACAUUCUCUUUGAAGUAAAUAUCAGGUAAACUGAAUAUUUGUUCACUAAAAUUGGAUAGCAUCAGAGGGAUAUGGCCAAAAUCACUAGAAAAGCAUGCUAGCAUAAUCACAUAUUUAUUCUUGAUGGGAAUGAGCAAAAUGUCAACUGUGUGACAGAAAUAGAUACUGGAACAAAUACAUCAAAGAAAAUGACAUGAUCCCAAUCUUCAAGAAUCAUAAGUCUAAAUAGAGUUAACACACAAAUACAAUGUGAACUGUUACAAUGCAGACAAAUGAAGUGCACCGGAAAGGUACAAAACCACCCGCAACUGGGAGAAUAAGGGAAGGUGGCCUUCGGAAUAUUCCUAAUGAAUUUUGAAGAGAAAAAGGGGCAUCAAGGAGUAGGACAAACUACAAAGAUCAUCAUGGCUUGGACCCAAAGAAGGAGACUAAGUGGUGAGAAUACAGAUUAGAAAAGUGAGAACUCGUUUAAGGUCAUGUGACAUUUAGGGCACUAAACUUGAUUUGGAGACAUGAAGAGGGUAAAUGAAGGAAUCUAAGCAUUGGAGUAGCAUAUCAUAUUGUGUUUUUAAAAAAUUCAUGGCCAAAAAUUAGAAAAUGGAUUUUUAAAGCAAGACUGAAGCAAAAGCAGUCAGAAAAUUGUUGAACGGAGACAUGCAACAAAUCCUAUGGAUUGACUUAAGGUUAAAACGAUGGAGAUGGAGAAAGGGAUAUUUAAAUACAAGGCAAACUCAGGAAUUCUUGGUAUCUAAAUGGAUACAGGAAGUAACAGAAAAAAAUCAUCCCCAGAUUUUCAGCCAAGAAACAAAGAGCAGAUGGUGGUGCCAUCAGCAAAUGAAGAAUGCUCUCCAAGGAACUAAGAGCAGUCUGCUGGCCAAAAUCUGCUUCUGUUACGACAGUCCUUUCAUCCACUGCAAAAUUAUAGCAGUCCACACAGGAACUCCGCUUCCACCUCUGAAACAGAUGGGGACUGCUACCAAAGAUUUUCUUAAAUACUAUCCUGGGUCUUUAUAGGGUAUUGCAGAUUAAAUUAUCACAUGUUCUUGGCACUGAGGACACACAGGUGAGAAAUAUGUUUUCUGACAGAAUU